CGAACCGGCGAACGGGUGCGUAACACGUGAGCAACCGUACCGAAGUGUGGGGGAUAGCCGGCCUAACGGCCGAGUAAUACCGCAUACGAUUCCGAAGAGGCAUUUCUUUGGAAUGAAACCUACGGGGUACUUCGAGGGGCUCGCGGCCUAUCAGCUAGUUGGUGAGGUAACGGCUCACCAAGGCGACGACGGGUAGCUGGUCUGAGAGGAUGGCCAGCCACAUUGGGACUGAGAAACGGCCCAG
rnacentral:rRNA from 1 species